CUCUUUUUCCCCUUGCAGGUUGGUCCGCUGUCUACAGGUGCUCGUUAUUCUGGCCAGUUUGUCGUGCUCUAUCUUUGACCACCUCUUUGCAGGUUGUCCCCUUCUCCCCCUCUCUUCUAUGCUUUCCAGGCCUAGGCUUACAUUUCUUCUUGUAUGAAGCGGCUGUUAGAUUUUGUUUGGACAAUGGAUGUAUCUGCUUUUUGUUCUCUUAUUGGUAGAAGCCUAGCAUGUAAAACUAUUAUCCCCUGCCUUUAUUUUUGUGCUUGCUUGGCAUUUGGAAUUGGGCAUUUUGGUCACUUCUAUAGAUCAUGGUAGUACCUAGCAUUUUGGUCACUUCUAUAGAUCCUGGUUGUGCUCAAAUUUACACGGGGUGGCUGUCUCUCUUCUAUACUUCUAUAGAUCAGGUUUCUCCGCUUAUGUUUAGCCUUUGUUAGGUAUACCUCUUUGCUGUCUUGAUGUGCGCAUGUGCUACCUUCUAAUAUUCAUGCCUCAUUGCAUUAUAAUAUUUCCCUUGCUUGUACUCAGGUUCCAGUUGUUAUUUCAAUGCAUCUUAUUCAUGGAUGCAUGCUUUACAUGCUCUUCUAGCAUAUGUUUGUUCUUGUGUUUCUUUCUCUUAUCUCCUAACUUCCUCUUGAGUGCAUGAAAAUACCUCAAUUAAUUAGUUUGUCGCUCCGUUAGUCGCCAUGGUCAGAUGAUGCUUCAGGUUUGCACUUCACAUUGAGGUAUUGGCCUGGUUACUAGCAUAGGUUUUCCUGUUGUGCCGCUUACUGCAAUUUCAUUAUUGAUUUGAUAGGAAAACUGGUGUUUAUCUACAUGAGGGACCUGGUUGUAUUACCUACUACAUGCAUCCUUAACUGGGCACCAAAAAACCUAGAUUGUGCAUCUCUGUUUGUUCAUGUGGUGAUUAUCCUAUUGUUUUCGGCAUCAGUGAGUUAUCUCUUCCCUGUGUUUUUUGCGUGAAGUCUUAGCCAACACCCAAGGUUCUGUUCCUGUGUAAUUAUUUUGCAUUGUUUCAGUUUGUUGUAUUACGAUGCCUAUUUUGCAGUCACACAAUCCAAAUGUAAUAGUAGGGAGAAAGAUGAUGAUGUUGUGCUUUAUAUCACAAUUCAAAUUCUAGAGUCGCACUUUUUGUUGAUUAAUCAUUCUGACCAGUAAUGAUUAUUCCUCUUUGUUUUAUUGUAUUGUUGGCCAAUUAAAAAAAUUGUAGGUGUAUAUUUUCUGUAUGGUGUAUAUUAUGCGAGUUAUUUCUAACACAUCUUGAUUUUAUUUUAGAAUCAUCUAACUCAAGCUCAUGCCUUUGAUCUUUGUUAACUAAAGCUUCUGUUAUAUUGGAUAUCAAAUUAUCUACACUUGAACUUAAGAUGUGAUGUAUCAUACUAGAUUUUCACUCCUUUAAAAAUCUUAGUUAGCAUUCAGAUUUUUUUAGAAUAGAUGCUCCUAUAUUUUUGUCAGCGCUUGAUGUACUUUGUUUAAAUGUUUCUUCCUGGUAGGAUCGAUUGUAAACAGUGGAUGAAUGCAUACCUUUUCAAGCUUAAGCAUUUGAUGUUUGGUGAUGUGGUAUUUUCUCUUUAAAGACGUUCCUACUACUUUCUUUUUUGAUAAAUAGACAAGUUGGAUCCAGUGUAUGUCCAUGUGUGUGCCUUGGUUCAGUACGCAAUGAAAUCUGGGAAAGUGGCUUCUGUUUAACAUUGUCAUGAAAGAUACAUUCACAUGUCUUGAACUUUCUAUCUUGGUUCUAUUUGUAUUGUUAGCUUCAAAAGAUAUAUUCACUUCUUUGCGACUUUUAUCUCUAUAACAUGUCUACUCUUCGUUUAGAUAUAUUUUUUAUUCCAGCUAUGUUGUUGUGAGGGAGCAGGCUUCUUAUGGGGAAUGGUGAUGAUUUAUUGAGCUUUCAUUUUGUUCUCCUUUCUAUCCCAAACAUAGUUUUCGCAGAGUCGAUGUAUGUGCCGGUUUGCCCGGAUAAUCCAUGUAGCGGUUAGUCUGUUUUUAUUCAUAUAAUUACUGGACUCCUAUAAAAACACGGAGAUGUACUGCGCUAUAUGUUCUCUGAUCCGUUGAGCCCAAACAUGUACAAGUGGAUCUGACCGUUAGAUUUUAAUUAUAUUGUGGACGUUGUCAUAGCUAGCAAUAUAUAGUGCAGUUUACUUUCUUUGUCCUCUUGUGGCCACUAACUAAAUCUUUUGUGUUUUCUUCUUUUGCUCAGGGCCCUAUGCUCCUAUAGCUUGAAUCAGGGUGGUGCCAAUGAUUCACAAGCUCUUCCAUAUUAUCAUUAGCGGUGAAGUCAUUCAAGUAUUGGCCACUACUAUCUGCAUUAGCUUCGCCUCAGAAAAUAACCUUUUCACUUGGAAGGAGGAAGUAGGAGUUCUCAGUAAUGGUUAACUACAAGCUACAGUAGAUGUUCUUUGAUUAACAAAGACAAAUGUCCUACUAUUAUCGAUGUUUCCAGAGCUUCAUUCUCAAUUUGUCUGUUAUCUCAUUAUGUUUAUGAGCAGCUCCAAAAUCUGACACUUAUGCUUGCCAGUAUGAAUUUCUUGGCUAUAUUUUAUAGAACUUAUGUCUUGACGCUUUGUACUGAACUUGAUGCAGUCCAAUUCAAGUCAGUUGUCCUGAGCAAGCAUUAUGUCUUGCUUUUGGUACAUUUUGUGCCUUUAUGCUUUGUAGUAAAGUUCAAGGCCAGUUGUCUUGGGAACAACUAUACCAUGCUUCUGGUAUAUCAUUAAUUUGUAUGCUCUAUGCUAAACUCA